rnacentral:rRNA from 1 species
UAUGUAGAUGCCUACAACAUUAAUGCACUAGAUCCCAUCAAAACUCCGUAGUUAAGCAUGCUUGGGAUAUAUUUGUAUUGGGAUGGGUGACUUCUAGGAAGUCCUAGUGUUUUACAUGC